UGGGAAAUGAUGCAGCUCUUUCACCUGAUGAAAACUGAGGGUUCUUGUAUUCAUACUGUCUGAUCCGC